GUGGAAUCAGAGAGCAGCACAACUUCAGUCACUGCAGCGAACUCAACACCAGACGAACUCUCUACUCACAAAAUCUUUUACAAUGAAGAUGAAGAUCUGUGUCAUCCUUCUGCUGUUUGUUGCAUCAUCAACAGUUACCCAAGGAACUACCUCAGCUGGUCCAACUACGACCACAGCAGGUACAACAACAAGCACAGCUGGUCCAACUACAACCACAGCUGGUCCAACUACAACCACAGCAGGUCCAACUACAACCACAGCUGGUCCAACUACAACCACAGCU